rnacentral:rRNA from 1 species
UAGGUAGGUGGUGGCAAAAGUCCGUGGUGAAAUCCCUGAGCUUAACUCAGGACGUGCCAUGGAAACUUUGUCACUAGAGUACUAGAGAGGUUCGUGGAAUUCCUGGUGUAGCGGUGAAAUGCGUAGAGAUCAGGAGGAACAUCAGCGGCGAAGGCGGCGAACUGGAUAGUAACUGACACUCAACUACGAAAGCGUGGGGAGCAAACA